rnacentral:rRNA from 1 species
GACUACCAGGUUGAUAGGCUAAGGGUGUAAGCAUGGUAACAUGUUCAGCUGAUUAGUACUAAUAGGUCGAGGGCUUGACCAAG